GGGUUUAGCUCAGUGGUAGAGCGCUACCUUGCCAAGGUAGAUGUCGAGGGUCCAAAUCCCUUAACCC
rnacentral:tRNA from 1 species